UUAAAACCCUUAAAAAUUGGAAUGUUCAGAUUAUAAAUAUUAAUUGGAAAACAUAAGACUUUGACAACUUUUUCGGUUAUAAUAUUAGAAACAAAUUAGAUAGAUUACAUACAGUCGAUCUUAAAUAUGAACAUAAUAAAAUUAUCAAAAACACAAAACUCGCUGGUUCACACGAAAAACAAGGGAUAGUGAAAAACGCAUUGUCGUUGAACAUAAUUUUACGAAGACUCUCCGUAAAGGUUAUAAACAAAACACUCAGCUAUAUUCGACAACCAUCAACUAACACAGAUUCUACAUAUUUCCCGAAACCAAACAACACAUGUUUCGGAAACGAGCAUCAGAAUGGAAACCUAACAACGAGGUAAAAUGGCGGCAGGGCCGACAGUGACUAGAGAAAAGAAGUAUCUCGAAGACUCCGUGAAAAGAAAUUAAACCACGAAACUUAUCCAACGCAGCUCGUGAAACUAAGAAGUAACUUAGUAGCUAACCUAACCUGAAGUUGACUAGCUUCGAGUAAGCAAAAAUACAAAUAAAUAUUAUCUCCUACAGAAUUU